rnacentral:rRNA from 1 species
CCUACGGGGAGCAGCAGUGGGGGAUAUUGCACAAUGGGGGAAACCCUGAUGCAGCGACGCCGCGUGUGGGAAGACGGUCUUCUGGAUUGUAAACCACUGUCCCCAGGGACGAAAAUGACGGUACCUGGGGAGGAAGCUCCGGCUAACUACGUGCCAGCAGCCGCGGUAAUACGUAGGGAGCAGGCGUUGUCCGGAAUUACUGGGUGUAAAGGGAGCGUAGGCGGGGAUGCAAGUUGGGUGUCAAAACUACCGGCUCAACCGAUAGUCGCACUCAAAACUGCAACUCUUGAGUGAAGUAGAGGCAGGCGGAAUUCCUAGUGUAGCGGUGAAAUGCGUAGAUAUUAGGAGGAACACCAGUGGCGAAGGCGGCCUGCUGGGCUUUUACUGACGCUGAGGCUCGAAAGUGUGGGGAGCAAACAGGAUUAGAUACCCUGGCAGUC